GUGGAAACCAGAGGACAGAGGGCUGAAGGACUGGACUUCUGCAUGACUUAAACAGGAGUUGUAUGUCUGCACAUGGCAGGUACGUCAAUACAUGCUCUUGCCUAAUUAGGGGCAUGUGGCUGUGCAUUUGUGGUAAUUGUGCAUACGUCUUUCAUAUAUGUUUUUGUGUCUAAACUUUCAGAAAAUUAUGUCUUGAGUCUUCUGUUCAACAYUGCAGUGUGCUCACAGCUCUGCUAAAAUCUGAAUCUGGGAGUCCCUGUCUCAAACAGGAGGACACCUGCCUUCAGUUUUGCCUGGUUUUGAGACCUGUGUUUGAUCUGUGAUGGUUSUCAUGUGACUUUUUUUAAUCUAUGUGGUUUUUCCUCUUUCUGCUUCACUGUCUUUGAAUAGGUUGAAGUGUGUUGUAAUGGGGGAAAGGUCCAAUCAGUAUAUGCAGGUCACUUCUGUGAUACCCCACGUGUCCUGACAGAAUGCUGUUUUCAUAUAAAGCAAAGUGAAGCACUAGACCUUAUCAGUAGCUUAGAAUUUAGUCAAAAGAAGAGUGAUGGGAAAUGUGAAAUCCUUUCCAAACCUGAAGAUUUGAAUCCAGUUUUGCUUAGAAAAUGGAGAGGCACCAGUUGUCUCAUCAGACGAGUCCCAGUGAUGGUAUCCCUGCUGCUGUUGGAGAAAGACUUUGUGCUUUGGGUAGUGUAACGACUCCCCAUCUUUUUGUAGCUGAGUCUGAGAGAACUGGGGAUGUUCUGCCUUCCACCUCCUGCUCCUGCUUCUGCCAGCUCAAGGAGCUCCACCACGCUUCCUGCCUCUCWGAGACCGUGCAGACACCUGAACUGGCCCUGCAGCGAAACCGCGGCAGAGCGUGUGCUAGGAUAGCUGAGGAGAUGGAUGAUUUUUUUGUCUGCUGGCUAAUCACCCAAGCUGGCAAAGAUAUUCUGAGAAAAGAAUCCCAAGGGAAGAAAUGCUGCAAAUGCACAGAAGAGCAUUUGCACACGUUUGCAAAUGCACAUCUUCAUCAAGGACAUAAGGCAGUGAGUGCCAAUGAACGACUGACCUCUCGGAUGACUCAUAUUCCCUCAUUCUAUAGGAAACUGUGCUGGUAA
rnacentral:lncRNA from 1 species